GGGCAUGUAGCUCAGUGGUAGAGCACUUGCCUAACAAGCAUCAGGCCCUGGGUUGAUCCCUAGCAUUGUUA
rnacentral:tRNA from 1 species